GCAUUUGGAUAGCUCAAUCAGUAGACCAUGAGACCCUUAAUCUCAGGGUCAUGGGUUCGAGCCUUACGUUGGGCA